rnacentral:rRNA from 1 species
AACGAACGCUGGCGGCAGGCUUAACACAUGCAAGUCGAGCGCCCCGCAAGGGGAGCGGCAGACGGGUGAGUAACGCGUGGGAACGUACCUUUUGGUUCGGAACAACUCCGGGAAACUGGAGCUAAUACCGGAUAAGCCCUAACGGGGAAAGAUUUAUCGCCGAAAGAUCGGCCCGCGUCUGAUUAGCUAGUUGGUGAGGUAACGGCUCACCAAGGCGACGAUCAGUAGCUGGUCUGAGAGGAUGAUCAGCCACACUGGGACUGAGACACGGCCCAGACUCCUACGGGAGGUAGCAGUGGGGAAUAUUGGACAAUGGGCGCAAGCCUGAUCCAGCCAUGCCGCGUGAGUGAUGAAGGCCUUAGGGUUGUAAAGCUCUUUUGUCCGGGAAGAUAAUGACUGUACCGGAAGAAUAAGCCCCGGCUAACUUCGUG